rnacentral:rRNA from 1 species
GACGAACGCUGGCGGCGUGCCUAAUACAUGCAAGUCGAGCGCUUCUUUCCUCCCGAGUGCUUGCACUCAAUUGGAAAGAGGAGUGGCGGACGGGUGAGUAACACGUGGGUAACCUACCCAUCAGAGGGGGAUAACACUUGGAAACAGGUGCUAAUACCGCAUAACAGUUUAUGCCGCAUGGCAUAAGAGUGAAAGGCGCUUUCGGGUGUCGCUGAUGGAUGGACCCGCGGUGCAUUAGCUAGUUGGUGAGGUAACGGCUCACCAAGGCCACGAUGCAUAGCCGACCUGAGAGGGUGAUCGGCCACACUGGGACUGAGACACGGCCCAGACUCCUACGGGAGGCAGCAGUAGGGAAUCUUCGGCAAUGGACGAAAGUCUGACCGAGCAACGCCGCGUGAGUGAAGAAGGUUUUCGGAUCGUAAAACUCUGUUGUUAAAGAAGAACAAGGACGUUAGUAACUGAACGUCACCUGACGGUAUCUAACCAGAAAGCCACGGCUAACUACGUG